UACGUAGGGUGCAAGCGUUGUCCGGAAUUAUUGGGCGUAAAGAGCUCGUAGGCGGUUUGUUGCGUCGGCUGUGAAAUCCCGAGGCUCAACCUCGGGUCUGCAGUCGAUACGAGCAAACUAGAGUGUUGCAGGGGAGACUGGAAUUCCUGGUGUAGCGGUGAAAUGCGCAGAUAUCAGGAGGAACACCGAUAGCGAAGGCAGGUCUCUGGGCAUUAACUGACGCUGGAGGAGCGAAAGCAUGGGGAGCGAACAGG
rnacentral:rRNA from 1 species